UCUUAGUGGCGGACGGGUGAGUAACGCGUGGGUAACCUGCCUUAUACAGGGGGAUAACACUUAGAAAUAGGUGCUAAUACCGCAUAAGCGCACGGGGCUGCAUGGUACAGUGUGAAAAACUCCGGUGGUAUAAGAUGGACCCGCGUCUGAUUAGCCAGUUGGCGGGGUAACGGCCCACCAAAGCGACGAUCAGUAGCCGACCUGAGAGGGUGACCGGCCACAUUGGGACUGAGACACGGCCCAAACUCCUACGGAAGGCAGCAG
rnacentral:rRNA from 1 species